UCCGUUUUAUCAACGGCAGUCUCAGUAGAGUGCCCAGCUUGACCUGCUGGCAACUACUGACAAGGGUUGCGCUCGUUGCGGGACUUAACCCAACAUUUCACAACACGAGCUGACGACAGCCAUGCACCACCUGUAUACGAGUGUCCAAAGAGCCUUCUAUCUCUAGAAGGUUCUCGCAUAUGUCAAACCUAGGUAAGGUUCUUCGCGUUGCAUCGAAUUAAUCCGCAUGCUCCGCCGCUUGUGCGGGCCCCCGUCAAUUCCUUUGAGUUUUAAUCUUGCGACCGUACUCCCCAGGCGGGGCACUUAAUGCGUUAGCUGCGGCACCCAGGGGGUCAAUACCCCGGACACCUAGUGCCCAUCGUUUACAGCGUGGACUAC
rnacentral:misc_RNA from 1 species